CAAGGCUCUGAUUGGCCUAAUUUGCAGGGGAGAGGGGUGUGAGCUUUUUUGCUAACAGGAGCCGUGCCCCUACAAGAGGGGCAUGGGAAGGCAAAUUAAGUGUUGUCUAUCCUGUAUGAUUGAGGGGCUAGGUGCUGUGGAGAGCUCCUCAGUGCUUCAGACAGUGGGGGAAACCUUCGAGGAGAAUCCAGAGGAGUCCACGGAGAACUUAGAGCUUGCAUUGGGCUUUAAAGGAGAGGAAGGGUUUGCAUAGUACAGAGAAGAGGAGAAAUUAAAACUAAGUGAAGCAGAGAGCCUGCCUGAAAAGCAAGAACACCCAAGGAAACACAGUGGUUGGCCCAUUCUGAGAAAUCCUUCAUCCUGAGUACUUUGAGGACAUCACUCACAGCAUUUUGACCAAGACAAACCUGUGAAUGACAGGCAAAUGCCUGGGUCUAGCAGCACUUGACUAGAACCACUGGGGCUAUAAAACACAGGGUUGGGGCAAAUGAUCUGCCCAGAGGCCCCCACUCGAGUGCUUCACCCAGGACCACCCCAGCCCAUCAGAAUCCGGAAUGGAGUUCAGAGUUACUUCGACCCUUUUUUCUAAUUUGACACCCUCUUUACCAGGUCAAGCAUGGGCCUAGGAGUACUAGUAGAAUGGCUGUACCUGCUCCCAGCGUCCAGACACCCCUGGCCACCAGCAUUGACCUCAUCUCAGACUCACUCCACACAAUCAGAGUGGUCCUAGAUACUCUCACCAGGACAGUGCUCUUCAAACCCUGCACCCAUCUGCCUCCCCAUACACGCUGCCAUCCGUACUACCCAUUGCACACCUCCUCUGUUAGUCACUGAAAGCGCUCUAAGGGCUGCCUGGCUGCUGCCUUUCCAGGCUGCAACCACCAUUUGUAUUCUGGAGUGAACAGUUCAAAACCCUCCAUGUCCACACAGCUUCCUGCCAAUGCAGAGACAGAGUCCUCAGACUGAGCGUAUUAAUGGAUAGAGGGGGAAUGCCACCUUAAGUCCUUCUCCAGGCAACACGGCUUGGCCCCUAACAUCCCAGGCAUCAUGAGAACGAUUUUGCUACUCCUCCACACACACCACUUUGUUUCUAACUUAUCAUGUCCCUGCCUCUACCAGAACUGCUAUCAUCCCCUCAGCUUGCUAGUAUUUAGAGGAGUGACAGGUCCCUUGGAGACCUCCAGAAAAUCGGACUCCAAGAAGCCCCCACCUAAGUGAAGGUCUGUAGGCCUGCCACCUGGCUCUCUCAGGGUACCAGAUGCCUCAGCCCUGUGGCCCUAUGGGCCCAGCGAUUCCCAGUCAUAUUUGCUCCUAGUCUGCCUGCCCUCCCACCAUCCAGCUCUGCAAGCUCCCUGUACAUCUUUGCACCAUCUCACCUGGCUCACCAUGGGAGCAGGAUGACUUGAAUGUGCAUAGGAAUCACCCAGGGAUCUAGUUCUAGGGUGGGGUCCAAGAUUCUGCAUUUCUAUCAAGCUGAAGGCCAAAAGUGCUGGACUGCAGAGAUGCUGCUGGACUGCAGACCGCACUUUGAGAAGCAAGACUUGAUGCCUGAACUAGUACUGCGAUUCCCACCUUCCACUGCCACUAACGGGAGACGGCAGUGCUGGACGCCGGUGACACUCAGCAACUAGCAGCCCUUGCACGCAGCUAGGGCACUAGCCAGCAUGCAGCUAGGUGUACGGCAGCCUGUCAGUGCCAGGUGCUUUAGGGCGCUCUCCCACAAAGAGCGCCAAGAGAGGGAGGCACCAGCCUUGCUCCCCAGAACUAGUCCCCAUUCGAUAGUUAGAACUAGCAAACAGGUCAGUAAUCAAAUGCACUUCCUGCGGUUUUCCCUUCUCCCCAGCCCCGCUUUUUCAUUGUCCUCCCCACGCCUGCCAUUUUAAGGUUCCUAUUUUAAGCCCUGGGUUCAAACCUCAACUCUGCCACCCGCUGACUAAUAGUGCGACCUUGGGCACGUUACUUAACCCUCUGCGCCCGUUUCCUCCUCUGGAUGAUGUGCAUCGUAGAGAAGACUAUGUGUGCAGCGCUCGUUAAAUACUAGCCAUUCCCCUCUCGCCCAUUGUUUGCACUGCUCCGUUCCUCUUCUACCCUGUUUUCCUAACUUAGUCUCGAGGCUCGCUCCCGUAGUGCUUUGUCCCUCCUUAAGAAUUUCCGUAUAUACUUAACACCGCUUUUAAAGCAAGAUCACAAUUUUGUUUACUGUAAAAGAAAGGCUAGAAGUAAACAGGAAAGGGAG
rnacentral:lncRNA from 1 species